AUUGAACGCUGGCGGCAGGCCUAACACAUGCAAGUCGAGCGGAUGAGAGGAGCUUGCUCCUUGAUUUAGCGGCGGACGGGUGAGUAAUGCCUAGGAAUCUGCCUGGUAGUGGGGGAUAACGUUCCGAAAGGAACGCUAAUACCGCGUACGUCCUACGGGAGAAAGCAGGGGACCUUCGGGCCUUGCGCUAUCAGAUGAGCCUAGGUCGGAGUAGCUAGUUGGUGAGGUAAUGGCUCACCAAGGCGACGAUCCGUAACUGGUCUGAGAGGAUGAUCAGUCACACUGGAACUGAGACACGGUCCAGAUUCCUACGGGAGGCAGCAGUGGGGAAUAUUGGACAAUGGGCGAAAGCCUGAUCCAGCCAUGCCGCGUGUGUGAAGAAGGUCUUCGGAUUGUAAAGCACUUUAAGUUGGGAGGAAGGGCAGUAAGUUAAUACCUUGCUGUUUUGACGUUACCGACAGAAUAAGCACCGGCUAACUUCGUGCCAGCCGCCGCCGUAAAAC
rnacentral:rRNA from 1 species